CAAGCAAGCGAGCACUGAAGAGGCAGCAGGGAUACAAAGAUUAAUCAUGGAGCAGGCAGACACUGCAACUAAUGCUUCACUGCAGGAGAGGAGCAGCUUCUGGUCGGCACAGCGUACUGUAUCAAGAAUGGAUUAAUCCACAUCACAAUGCAUUUACAAGCGCAGACAGCUUUUUGCUUAAUUGUAUGGCAGGUGCUCCAAUCAAAAUAAAGUGCACCUGUGAACAGAAAAUCAAGGAUUAGUUUAUGAAUCUAUUUGUUUGAUAUCAGAAUAGUCAUUAGAUCAGCUUUUCUGAAUUAUUAUGAAGUAUUUGUGAAUUUAUCUGAUUGCAUGACUACACAGCUGUUGUUUUUGUUUUUUAAGGUUGCACACACCCGCCAUGCAAGAAAAUACUUCUUGGCGGGCCGGCAUAUGUUUACAGCAACACGUCUCGGGAUAAAAUUACAAAGGUGUGGAUGCUGAGAGGAUGGGAAAUCCCUGAUGCAAUGUGGAAUGCUUUGAUAACUCUCUGUCUUCUACUUGAAAGCACGGGAAAGAAGAACAGACCAUGAGAAAUGGUCAGCUUGGGAUAGAAUCGGGUGAUGUUUCAAAGUCGAAAAGAAGAAAAAAGUUGGAUGCCUGUCAGACUUGAUCUCCAGAUCAGGCUGACUCAUCUGUCCCAUCAGAAGCAACACAUGUGAACAGACGGCUUGCAGCAUGGCUCA